CUGGACCAAACCAAUGUACAUCUUAUAUGUAUUGAUUGAUGUCUUAUGUCUCCCUAAAAUGUAUAAAACCAAGUUGUAGGCUGACUCCCUUGGGCACAUGUUCUCAGGAUCUCCUGACAGCUAUGUCACAGGCCAUUGAUCACUCAUAUUUGGCUCAUAAUAAAUCUCAUCAAAUAUUUUACAGAGUUUAAUUUUUUUCAUCGACAGUAGGAGAGACAAUCCUCUAACUCCAUUUUUCUGGUACUGUGAAGAGGGAUUUUUUUUCCCAAACAGUCUUGCCACACCUUCCUCAUUGAUUCUCAGGAAAGAGAAUCAGCAAAGUGAUGAAUUUGAUACAAGUAAUCCCUUUGUGCCUUUUUCUUUGGGAAAAUGAUUUACACAGAAGUCAUCGUCCCUUUUAUAUUUGGUUUAAGAUCAAGCUCAAGAUCUCCAAGUAAAGUUUUGUUGCUAAUGAAAAAUGUUGUGCAAUUGAGGGAAAUUUUAUUUAACCACGCUGGAAGACUGAAUUGUCUUUCUAUUCUUUCUACAUAAAAUGAUAUUAUAAAACCAUUGUUUUGUGAAGGGGUAAUCAAAAAGUAUGCAGCCAAAAUAAUGUAGAGAGGAUGUGAGGCCAAUCUGGCUGCGACAUCUGUCACCCCACUAAUCGUCAGGGUUGAUUCGGCUGAUCUGGCUGGCUAGGUGGGUGUCCCCUUCCUCCCUUACCACUCUAUGUGUGUCCCUCCUGAAGCUGCGCACUCGGUCGAAGAGGACAACCGUCCCUGAUAGAGGAGGACCGGUCUUCAGUCAAGGGUAUACAAGCAGCUGCGCUCCCCUGCUAGAACCUUCAAACAAGCUUUCAAAAUAAUGUAGAAGAGUGACAAUAUUUAUUAAUAUGUAUUUAAUAAAUAUAUUUUUUGGUUAAAAAUAAUAUUAACAUGUCAAUUUCUAGAUGAGCAGUAUUUGUGGUCUUUGUCAGUUUUAUAAAAUCAUAACUUGUUGUGAUUUCUCUUUUCUUUUUUUGUUUUUUUUUUUUUUUGAGACAGAGUCUCGUUCUGUUGCCCAGGCUGGAGUGCAGUGGCACCGUCUCAGCUCACUGCAAGCUCUGCCUCCCGGGUUUACACCAUUCUCCUGCUUCAGCCUCCCGAGUAGCUGGGACUACAGGCGCCCGCAACCUCACCCGGCUAAUUUUUUGUAUUUUUAGUAGAGACAGGGUUUCAUCGUGUUAGCCAGGAUGGUCUCAAUCUCCUGACCUCAUGAUCCGCCAGCCUCGGCCUCCCAAAGUGCUGGGAUUACAGGCGUGAGCCACCGUGCCCGGCUGUGACUUCUGUUUUCAAUCUAAACAAAUAUUCACUUUCAUAUCUACUUUGAUAUUCAUAAUUUUGUUCUUAAAAGUUUCCCUCAUAUUGUAUACACAUCAGGCCUCACAAAACCUAGAUCCAUCCCCCCCACCCCCACAUUAAUCAAAUUAACUCUGAGGUACUAAAAAGCUAUAAAUCUACUUCCUCUUCUAUUUUCCAUCCCAAAUUAAGUUCAUCAUGUUGUUCAGUACAGCCUACCAAAGGUUGUGCAGUGAGCUCAAAUGACAUCAUAAUGACAAUAAAAUGCCAACAACACAUGCCUCCUGUCAUGAAGUCACCAUGGAUUCAAAGUUCAAAGAUUAAAAUCUCAAAGAAGUUAAAGUCCAGGAAUUUUAUGUUACAGUUCAAAGGAAUUAAUCCAAUAUGUUUACCCUUGUGAAUUAAAGUGUAAAGUCCAAAUCCCUUAGGUUAACUAAAAAAGAAACUAAAGGUGGCACACGCAUGCUCUCCCAGCUAUUUGGAAGGCUGAGAGGGGAGCAUCACUUGAGCCCAGGAUUUUGAAACCAGCCUGAGCAAUAGAGUAAGAGUCUAUCUCUAAAAAAAGGAAAGAAAGAAAGAGAUAUGGUUUGGAUUUGUGUUCCCGCCCAAAUCUCAUGUCGAAUUGCAAUCCCCAGUGUUGGAGGAGGGGCCUGGUGGGAUGUUGGAGGAGGGACCUGGUGGGAUGUUGGAGGAGGGGCCUGGUGGGAGGUGAUUGGAUCAUGGGGGUGAACUGACCCCUUGCUGCUCUCGUGAUAAUGAGUUAGUUCUCACUUGAUCUGGUUGUUUAAAAGUGUGUAGCAGCACCUCCUCCUUCACUCUCUUCCUCCUGCUCCAGCCAUGUCAGAUGUGCCUGCUUCCCCUUUGCCUUCCACCACAAUUGUAAGUUUCCUGAGGCUUCCCCAGCCUGCUUCCUGUACAGCCUGCAGAACUGUGAGCCAAUUAAACCUCUUUUCUUUAUAAAUUACCCAGUCUUGGGUAUUUCUUUAUAGCAGUGCAAGAACAAACUAACACAGAAAGAAAAGAAAUUAAAAUCUUCCCCAAUUUCUUCUACUCAUUUCCCACCAGAGGGCUGUUGGUGACUGGGCAGAUGGAGGUACUCCUCUAGAAGCCCAGCCUGGGACGAUCAUGUUCUUUCAGGAUGCCCAAAACAUCAUUCAUCCGAUCACUUUUCAGAACAUCUGAAGUGUUCACAAGAGGCAAGGCUAUGGUGGCACUGGUCCUGUAUCUAUUAAUUGGCAAAACAAAAACAAAAAACCAAGUCAGGCCCUGGCCCUUAGUUAUCCAGGCAAAAAUUAUGAUCUAGAAACCAAUACCUUGGUGUUGCCAAAGACACUGAUAGCUGAGUGGAGCAGGAGAAGGCAGAGAAAGUCUUGGUGUCGGCCACACCAGGCAAAAACUAGUUAAUCCUAGUUAUACAGGAUCUAUGACUUGUGCCCUUUAGCUUAAUGGGGAGACUCUUCCUACCAAGAAAUUAAUGAGAGCACUCUAUU
rnacentral:lncRNA from 10 species